CUUUGGAUGGUAGUAUAGAGGACUACCAUGGUGAUAACGGGUAACGGAGAAUUAGGGUUCGAUUCCGGAGAGGGGAGCCUGAGAAAUGGCUACCACUUCUAAGGAGGGCAGCAGGCGCGCAAAAUUACCCAAUCCUAAUACGGGGAGGUAGUGACAAUAAAUAACAAUGCUGAUACUAUGUAUUAGUAAUUGGAAUGAGAACAAUUUAAACCCCUUAUCGAGUAACCAUCAGAGGGCAAGUCUGGUGCCAGCAGCCGCGGUAAUUCCAGCUCUGAUAGCGUAUAUUAAAGUUGUUGCAGUUAAAAAGACUCGUAGUUGGAUAUUAGGAUCUACUUGUAUGGUCGGUUGUGAUAAACAAUCUUGUACUGUAUAAGUGAUUCUUUCUACUGGUUACUCGACUCUGUCCUUUACUGGAUGGAGUAGUGUCGUCAAGACAUCGCUUGAUGUUAUAUUG
rnacentral:rRNA from 1 species